AGCGAACGCUGGCGGCAGGCUUAACACAUGCAAGUCGAGCGGGCCCUUCGGGGUCAGCGGCAGACGGGUGAGUAACACGUGGGAACGUACCCUUUGGUUCGGAAUAACGCUGGGAAACUAGCGCUAAUACCGGAUACGCCUUUUUGGGGAAAGGCUUGCUGCCGAAGGAUCGGCCCGCGUCUGAUUAGCUAGUUGGUGGGGUAAUGGCCUACCAAGGCGACGAUCAGUAGCUGGUCUGAGAGGAUGAUCAGACACACUGGGACUGAGACACGGCCCAGACUCCUACGGGAGGCAGCAGUGGGGAAUAUUGGACAAUGGGCGCAAGCCUGAUCCAGCCAUGCCGCGUGAGUGAUGAAGGCCUUAGGGUUGUAAAGCUCUUUUGUCCGGGACGAUAAUGACGGUACCGGAAGAAUAAGCCCCGGCUAACUUCGUG
rnacentral:rRNA from 1 species